GACGAACGCUGGCGGCGCGCUUAACACAUGCAAGUCGAACGGAAAGGCCGUGCCUGUGUGGGGUGCUCGAGUGGCGAACGGGUGAGUAACACGUGAGUAACCUGACCUGGACUUUGGGAUAACUUCAGGAAACGGGGGCUAAUACCGGAUAGGAGCUCCUGCUGCUUGGUGGGGGUUGGAAAGUUUCGGCGGUUGGGGAUGGACUCGCGGCAUAUCAGCUUGUUGGUGGGGUAGUGGCUUACCAAGGCUUUGACGGGUAGCCGGCCUGAGAGGGUGACCGGCCACAUUGGGACUGAGAUACGGCCCAGACCCCUACGGGAGGCAGCAGUGGCGAAGGUUGCACAAUGGGCGGGAGCCUGAUGCAGCAACGCCGCGUGCGGGAUGACGGCCUUCGGUUUGUAGACCGCUUUCGCCUGUGACGAAGCGUGUGUGACGGUAAUGGGUAAAGAAGCACCGGCUAACUACGUG
rnacentral:rRNA from 1 species